GACGAACGCUGGCGGCGUGCCUAAUACAUGCAAGUAGAACGCUGAAGGAGGAGCUUGCUUCCAUGGAUGAGUUGCGAACGGGUGAGUAACGCGUAGGUAACCUGCCUGGUAGAGGGGGAUAACUAUUGGAAACGAUAGCUAAUACCGCAUAAUAGUAGAUGUCGCAUGACAUUUGCUUAAAAGGUGCAAUUGCAUCACUACCAGAUGGACCUGCGUUGUAUUAGCUAGUUGGUGAGGUAACGGCUCACCAAGGCAACGAUACAUAGCCGACCUGAGAGGGUGAUCGGCCACACUGGGACUGAGACACGGCCCAGACUCCUACGGGAGGCAGCAGUAGGGAAUCUUCGGCAAUGGACGGAAGUCUGACCGAGCAACGCCGCGUGAGUGAAGAAGGUUUUCGGAUCGUAAAGCUCUGUUGUAAGAGAAGAACGAGUGUGAGAGUGGAAAGUUCACACUGUGACGGUAUCUUACCAGAAAGAGACGGCUAACUACGUG
rnacentral:rRNA from 1 species